GCCUGAGAUAGUUAAGUCGGUAGAACAUGAGACUCUUAAUCUCAAGAGUCAUGGGUUCAAGCCCCAUGCUGGGCA